rnacentral:lncRNA from 1 species
AUAGUUUAGUAGAAGGAACACGUGAUGGGAAUCUAGAAGACCCAGGUCUGAUCUUGGCUUUGUUCAGACAUUAACCAGCUGUGUGACUUUGGGUGAGACAGCUUUUAAAAAAUGAAGAAGAAAAAGAAGGAAAAGAAAUGACAGUCUGAAAGUUGAAAGCUCCUGAGUUUCUACAAGACUUGUUCUCACAGAAGAGGAGACACUAAUACCAUGUCCUAAUCACUGUAGUUCCUGCUAGAUAAAGGGACAGCUUUCCACAGAUGAACAGCAGCCUACAAAUGUCUCCCCUGUUGAGAGCCACCUUGGGAGCUGGCACUUUUCAUUCUGACCUGCCCAGCAUCAGACAUCACCAGAUCGAUGACAUACACUCCACAAGGGAUUGAGGUUCUGGCAGCCAGUUUGAUCAUAAAAUUAAAAGCUCUUUCUGGAGUGCAGGAACCUGAGAGGAGGAUGCUCUUCCUCCCCCUCCCAACACUGUCCGGCUGCCCUCUCAUACCUCCUUCCACUGCAACAAGCACAGAGACUGAUGUUAAUAGGUCAGUGGGUAACAGAGUAACAGAGUGGUGGAUCAGAUUAUAUUUAGGGAUCCAGAACAGCCCUCCCCCUCCAUUAGCAAUGAAUUAUAAUGAGGACCAUAAUUUGGAGACAUCAGUUCAAGACUCCACUAAAAGACCACUUCAGUAGUUGGGAGACUUCUUUAAAUGACCCCUUCCAGUGAAAGGUGCUGCCCAAGACUUAAAUCUAGGUGAGAUAAAGAUGUCAAUGCCUUUAUUCUUCCAUUUUACCUAAUUGAAUUUGGAAAUCCCUUUUCCCCAAGACCCAAAUCUAGUCAACAGAAGCUGAUGAUAAAUAACAAAUUUUUUCCCUUGGUCCUUUUAGCUCCAAUUAUGUCCCUUGACAACUUGCAACCAGGGUCAUUCAAAUAUCCCUGAAGGUCCAACGUGCUUUUAGAAAAGAGAAGUGGGACACAUUUGAUGAUCCUGUUGUAAAGACAAAGGUCUUUAUUUUCCUUAGAGAAGUAUGAAGUGUGGAUCAUGUUCAGAAAGAAUCAGCGGAAGACUUCAUGGAAGAGGUGCCAUCUGAGCUGGGCUUUGAGAGAAGAAAUAAAUUUCACAAUGUGACCA